rnacentral:rRNA from 1 species
AAUCAAACGCUGGCGGCGUGCCUCAGACAUGCAAGUCGAACGCGAAAUCCCGAGCAAUCGGGAAAGUAGAGUGGCGCACGGGUGAGUAACACGUAGGUAAAUCUACCUUCGGAUGGGGAAUAACAAUCGGAAACGAUUGCUAAUACCGCAUAAUGCAGCGGCACCUAAUGGUGACAGUUGUUAAAGCGGGGGAUCGAAAGACCUCGCGUCUGAAGAGGAGCCUGCGGCGGAUUAGCUAGUUGGUAAGGUAAUGGCUUACCAAGGCAACGAUCCGUAACCGGCCUGAGAGGGCGGUCGGUCACACUGACACUGACAUACGGGUCAGACUCCUACGGGAGGCAGCAGUCGGGAAUUUUGGGCAAUGGGCGAAAGCCUGACCCAGCAACGCCGCGUGAAGGAUGAAAUCCCUCGGGAUGUAAACUUCGCAAGAACGGGAAGAAUAAGUAGGGACAAUACCCCCCUAUGAUGACGGUACCGUUUGUAAGCUCCGGCUAACUCCGUGCCAGCCGCCGCCGUAA